UGUGUGCUGCAGCCGCUGUGGGACUGGAUCUUGUCUCUUCUGGCUGGAGCGCCUCGAUUCCUGUGCUGCUGGAUUUGGGGGGAUACACUGCCUGGCGCUGGGAGAUCAAAUGAGACUGCACAGAAGCAUAAAAUGAAUAGACUGUCCAUCCAACCAAAGACCGGGGGCAGCAGCACACCAGCAAGACGGCAUCUUCUCCUCCCCCCCGCCUAGAAGCCCUGUGAAAUCGAGGAUCUUCCCCCUAAAACACUCGCAUACAAGAUGUGUGCAAUCAAGCUGCCACCGCUUGGUAAAAAAAAGCUCAUGAUGCCUAACCCAAAAAGAUCAGGAGCCGAUCCUUGAAUCUGCCGUCACUUUUCUAGAACGGGAUUUUUUUUUCCCUUCCUCCUUAA